AUCCGGCUGAUGAGUUCAAAAUAGGGCGAAAUCGGAUUCUGGAU
rnacentral:hammerhead_ribozyme from 1 species